rnacentral:rRNA from 1 species
UACGGAGGGUGCAAGCGUUAUCCGGAUUCACUGGGUUUAAAGGGUGCGUAGGUGGGCAGGUAAGUCAGUGGUGAAAUCUCCGGGCUUAACCCGGAAACUGCCAUUGAUACUAUCUGUCUUGAAUACCGUGGAGGUGAGCGGAAUAUGUCAUGUAGCGGUGAAAUGCUUAGAUAUGACAUAGAACACCAAUUGCGAAGGCAGCUCACUACACGAAUAUUGACACUGAGGCACGAAAGCGUGGGGAUCAAACGGG